UACGUAGGUGACCAGCGUUGUCCGGAUUUACUGGGCGUAAAGAGCGCGCAGGCGGUCGUUCAAGUCGAGUGUGAAAGCCCCCGGCUCAACUGGGGAGGGUCACUUGAUACUGAUCGACUCGAAGGCAGGAGAGGGAAGCGGAAUUCCCGGUGUAGUGGUGAAAUGCGUAGAUAUCGGGAGGAACACCAGUGGCGAAGGCGGCUUCCUGGCCUGUUCUUGACGCUGAGGCGCGAAAGCUAGGGGAGCAAACAGG
rnacentral:rRNA from 1 species